rnacentral:lncRNA from 1 species
UGCUCGAAUGAGUAAUCGAGUACAUUGAACAACGAUCAAAAGAGAGUUCGAACAUACAUGUCAUGUAAGAACUCGUUAGUUGCAAUAUGCAAAGUACUCCUUUGACCUGAGACAUCAUAGAUGUCUAAUGGUUAGGUCCUUGAUCUUUGAUCAUGUCAAAGGCAUUCAAUCGAGAGUGUCCACGACAUUGUUGGGGUCAAGCUAUCUAGUCAUGUAGGCAUAUGAAUGCACAACAAGGGAUAUCUAACCUUCCAUGGUGGAAGGAGAAUACUCUAAGAUAUGAUUCGGGAGUCUUUGGCCAAAGCAUACGAAUAUGACUUAGGAAGUAUGUUCCAAAUCAUAUAAAAUUGAAUCAU